rnacentral:rRNA from 1 species
UUGCCGGUAAUCAACCAGAAAGUCACGGCUAACUACGUGCCAGCAGCCGCGGUAAUACGUAGGUGGCAAGCGUUGUCCGGAUUUAUUGGGCGUAAAGCGAGCGCAGGCGGAAAGAUAAGUCAGAUGUGAAAGCCCUCGGCUUAACCGAGGAAUAGCAUCGGAAACUGUCUUUCUUGAGUGCAGAAGAGGAGAGUGGAACUCCAUGUGUAGCGGUGGAAUGCGUAGAUAUAUGGAAGAACACCAGUGGCGAAGGCGGCUGUCUGGUCUGCAACUGACGCUGAGGCUCGAAAGCAUGGGUAGCGAACAGGAUUAGAUACCCUGGUAGUCCAUGCCGUAAACGAUGAGUGCUAAGUGUUGGAGGGUUUCCGCCCUUCAGUGCUGCAGCUAACGCAUUAAGCACUCCGCCUGGGGAGUACGACCGCAAGGUUGAAACUCAAAGGAAUUGACGGGGGCCCGCACAAGCGGUGGAGCAUGUGGUUUAAUUCGAUGCUACGCGAAGAACCUUACCAGGUCUUGACAUCUUCUGCUAACCUAAGAGAUUAGGCGUUCCCUUCGGGGACGGAAUGACAGGUGGUGCAUGGUUGUCGUCAGCUCGUGUCGUGAGAUGUUGGGUUAAGUCCCGCAACGAGCGCAACCCUUAUUGUCAGUUGCCAGCAUUCAGUUGGGCACUCUGGCGAGACUGCCGGUGACAAACCGGAGGAAGGUGGGGAUGACGUCAAAUCAUCAUGCCCCUUAUGACCUGGGCUACACACGUGCUACAAUGGGCGGUACAACGAGUCGCGAGACCGCGAGGUCAAGCCAAUCUCUUAAAACCGCUCUCAGUUCGGAUUGCAGGCUGCAACCCGCCUGCAUGAAGUCGGAAUCGCUAGUAAUCGCGGAUCAGCAUGCCGCGGUGAAUACGUUCCCGGGCCUUGUACACACCGCCCGUCACACCAUGAGAGUUUGUAACACCCAAAGCCGGUGGGGUAACCGCAAGGGACCAGCCGUCUAAGGUGGGACAGAUGAUUGGGGUGAAGUCGUAACAAGGUAGCCGUAGGAGAACCUGCGGCUGGAUCACCUCCUUUCUA